UACGGGGGGGGCAAGCGUUGUUCGGAAUUACUGGGCGUAAAGGGCUCGUAGGCGGCCAACUAAGUCGGACGUGAAAUCCCCGGGCUUAACCUGGGAACUGCAUCCGAUACUGGUCGGCUUGAAUCCGGGAGAGGGAUGCAGAAUUCCAGGUGUAGCGGUGAAAUGCGUAGAUAUCUGGAGGAAUACCGGUGGCGAAGGCGGCAUCCUGGACCGGCAUUGACGCUGAACAGCGAAAGCUAGGGGAGCAAACGGG
rnacentral:rRNA from 1 species